rnacentral:lncRNA from 1 species
AUAGAUUCUUCAAUUACAAACAAUGCAUGGUUUACAUGCAAUUAAUGUCUAAAUGGGAUUACACUAUAUGUUGCGUGUGUGAAACACAUUGUACAUCUCCACUACUAAUAAAAGAGCAAACAUUAUCUUUGCUAAACGCACCCCACAAAACAUACACGGACCCAAUACUACCACACGAUUAUCCCCACUUAUCUAAAUCCAACGGCUAGCCUUCACCUGAUAUGUUUUCUGGUGUGCACUUACUAAUUUAUGUUGACUGACCAUACUCCACCGCGGAGGAAAACUUCCAUGCGAAAGCAAACACAAUCCCUACAAUCACGUAGGUCUUCCAAACAAAUUCAAACAUGUAUCCCCCAUUACCACAAAUAAUAAUAGACCUUCACAUCCAAAAACAAGAAACACACCCCACGGAUAUCCCCUCGCCGCUCAGAAACAUCAUCGCCUUUGCCUUCCUGGACGGCGACCUCGCCGCACGAAAACACCGCCGCCGCCUUCCCUGGCUGCCCUCCACUGGCCAUUACAUGCGCGGCUGCUCCCCCUCACCUUCUUCGCUGCAAACAGGUCGUAGGUUCCUUGCAUCACCUGUGCCAUCCUCUGAAAAUAUCAGGCAAGAUUUUAAUAUUAGACAUUUCUUCUUGUUCUUGCAAAUUAUCUUCUAACUUCCUUUUGCUUUAAGAAAAUGAAAUCUACAGAUUUAUGACAACAUAACUUGAAUCUAAUUCUGACUAAUAUAUGCUUCCAGUCAACCCUCUUGACAGAUUUUUUACUGGAGUAUUCAGUCUACGAAGUCGAUGUUAUGACUUCUCCAAAUCACUCGGGGCACGCACCCCAUUUCAGGAUAUAAGCAACAUCCUUUCCUCAGGUAACUAUCAGCCAACUGAGCGCUUCUUUUUUUCUGGGUUCAUGAACACUUCUAUAACGAAUGUGCUAAUUUCCAUUGUAUAUUUAAACAGACCCUAAAGAAAUUAAGAGGCAGAGGGACAGAGAAUAUUAUGCACGAAACAGAGAGGACAUUCUGAAAAGACGUCGUGAGGCACGUUUAAAGAAGCAGACUGAUAAACCUCUGCCGAAUGAUGAGCAAAAUGUGCCACACACACCCCUAGCCAUGUCCCAUGGUAAGUAUGGCCAUAUACUGCAUGCUUAUGUAUUAUUCACGUAACUUAUGAUACUCUAAAUCAUACAUGUAGACCCUACGGAGCUGAAGAGGCGACUGGAUAGGGAACGGUAUUCACAAAAUAGAGACGAAAUAUUAAAGAGACAACGUCAGGCCUACAGAAACAAAAAAAUGGCUGACUCUUCCGCUGAUAUCAGUGUCCAUGAAAAUGAAACACAAACACCGAUGUCCAUACCCGUUGGUAAUGACGAUCAACCAACUACAUACAACCCUAUUUGUUGAUACUAACUAGCUUUCUCAUCUAUGUAGACCCUAAAGACAUACGGAGGCAAAGGGACAGGGAGCGGUAUGCACAAAAUAGGGAUGAGAUAUUAAAACGACAACGCCUAUCACGUGAGCAGAGAAAGGCUACUACGACCCUACUCACCAACGAUAGCACCGUGUUACACACACCAGCUACAGGACAAUCUGGUGUCACCCAGCUACAACAAAUAUCGUCUGCAGGUUCUGUGCUACCAUAACAUAUUGAUUGCAUGGUGUUAUCUUAUCGAAUAUAACAAAAAAGGUUUUACUGAUGUUAUCUACAAUUUUCUUGCAGUAUUAUCAAAUAUACCAAAUUCAGAUCUAUCACCUGAACAUGCCCCCUACGACAAGGAGAAUACUUUAACAUAUGAUGAGGAGUCCGAUUGGUUGCACAGGAAUGAUGCAUAUCAGAUACAACAAAUUGGUGGACGCAUUAGAGCUGUUGCUAUGCCUCUUGGUCAUAACAUGCAAUCAAUCUCCACCGUCGUAAGAGAUAUUGCACAAGGUAUGCUUUAAUGCCUUUGGUUUGUACUCUUCUAAACAAUAAUAAACUAUAAUCAGCUUCUGAAUGACAGUUACUGUCAAUUGAACACAAUGCAGGGCCUCUCACACAACUUUCAGGGGUUCAGGCACCCCAAAUUAGCAGAAUACGUAACCCAGAUUUCUCAAUUCAAGGUGCGGUUUAGUUCGUCCAUUUAGUUAUGGUGGAAGUGUGUCCAUAGUGUUAAUUUGAUCGCAAUUCCUGGUUCUCUUUCGUUUAUUCAGGUAUACAUCCUUUUAAUGGCUCCAGUCAACCAAUGAAGACGCCAACUAAUGAUAAGAGACGCCCUGCGGAACCGUCUCCGGAUGAUACUCAAAGCACUCAAGAUCUACAAAGUAAGUUUGAUGACCCUAGACUACUAUAGUACCUGAUUUUGUAUGCUCUACUUAUCUUGUGGUUUUCCGUAGUGGGCAACGACCAUAUAGAAGAUCCAUAUGGAAUAUUUGAGCCCGUUGUUCAACAACCCAAUUUUGAAGGUACAUUAUAUAUUUUGUCGUUCACAUAUCAGGUUCUUCGUCGACAAUUUUGUGGCAUUUAUGUUUGACCAAUAUAUUGCCUACUAGACUGUUUGGCGCCAUUGCAAAAUGGAGAAGCUAUAUACCAUGAGCCUGAUGAGGAAGCUAGAAUAUUUAUGGCUGAAGGUAUGUCCAUUGUCUAUUUCCGAAUUUACCAUGAGCCUCAUAGGUCUUCAUUAAAUAUUUAAUACAAAUUGUUCUUCAAUGCUAGGUCUUGCUUAUGAAUCGUACCAACUUGGAUGCCCACGAGCCGCACCAGUAUCAAAUACCGAUGAAUUCAUUUACCGAAACCUACCUACAAAGCACAAUGUCCUAAGAAAGGUUCCCGACUGUCGCCACUGUGGGGCAUUGCGGUUUCCAUUUGAGGGCCCAGCAUUUUGUUGCAGAAAAGGAAAAGUCGAUAUUAUUACUCCAGACAUUCCAGAAGAGCUAAAACGGUUGUUUACAAGUCAAGAUGAUGAGGAUGCUAAAUAUUUUAGAGAGCAUAUACGGUAUUUCAACUCGCACUUCUCAUUCACAACUCUAGGAGUCACUCUUGAUCGCCGAGUAAGCACAGCGGCAGGAACUGGAGUAUAUACAUUUCGUGCAUGUGGUGGCUUAUACCACGCGCUUGAUGGUCUGGUGCCGGCUGAUAAUGGACCUCGGCAUUUGCAGCUUUAUAUUUAUGAUACAGAUCAAGACUUGGUUCACAGGGCUAUGAGGUCUCCAGAUCUUAAUAUAGACCUCAUACGAAAGAUUUUGCGAAUACUUGAGCGUAACCCUUAUGCACAAGUUUUAAAGAGCCUUGGGUCUGUUCCAAAUCUAGAUGAGUAUAGGAUCUCACUAAACACGGAUAUCAACUUGGAUCAACGAAGGUACAAUGCCCCAACGACUUCUCAGGUGGCAGCGAUAUGGGUUGAAGGGAGCGACCCAAAGAAUUGCUUUGACAGAAGUGUUGUCGUACAUGGAAAAAAAGGAGACCGGCCCCUAUAUAUUAGAGCAUACUAUGGGUGCUACGACCCAUUGUCAUAUCCACUAUUCUUCCCACGUGGGGAGACUGGUUGGAAUCGUAGGAUGCCAUAUGUUGGCCCCCUCGAUGACACCACACAAUGUUCAUCGGGUAACCCUGCACCCCAAGUAAACCAAACCUCUGAUUUAUAUGCAGGUAUGAGGUUCAUUAUUCAUUUAUAUACUUGCUAUUAUGAAUGAACACUUAUGUUCUCAUUUUUCUAUUAUAUGAAAACUUGAUUACAGAAAGUGAACAAGUUGGAAAUUUUGAACCACAUGAAGACCAUGCCACGGAUUUACCUGCAGGUAUCGGACAUCAUUGCUUAUUCUUCAAUUCUUAUGUGGUCAAGUAUUAUGGGUGCAAACAUCAUAUUGAAUUUGAAAUGUUGUGAAUCUUGUAGAUGACACGACCCAAUAUUCAGCGCAUAAUACUGCACCACGAGUAAACCAAACCUCUGAUUUAUCUACAGGUAUGAUGUGCACUAUUAAUUUAUAUACUUUCUAUUUACGAGUGAAGACUUAUGUUCUCAUUUUUCUAUCACAUGAAAACUUCAUUACAGAAAGUGAACAAGUUGGGAAUUUUGAACCACAUGAAGACCAUGCCAUGGAUUUACCUGCGGGUAUCGGUCAUCAUUGCUUAAUCUUCAAUUCUUAUAUAGUCAACUAUUAUGCAUGCAAACAACAUAUUGAAUUUGAAAUUUUGUGAAUCUUGUAGAUGACAAUGAAUAUAACCCAGAUGAGGAUUUUGGUGACAAUGAGGUGAAUGCAACAAAAUCCAGGAAAUUUGUUAGUGCGAGGGAGUACUACUGCUUCAAACUGCAGGUCAGGAAGAAGCUUUUUAACAUCAUCUUGUUCGGGGCGCGCCUUUUCCAACAGUGGGCUGUUGACAUGUAUAUCAAGAUGGAGACUAUGAGGCUUGACAGGUACUCAAAGCCGGAAAAUCAGAAGGUUAUACGCGCUGACCUCUACCAGGUAACGUGCUUAUGUAUAUUCUAAUAGAUCAUAAUACAACGACUUUAUGGACAUUCCAUGCUUUUCUAUAACCUUGUAUACUAUUAUAGGGUCUUGUUGACACUGUCGUUGUCGGCGAGUCACGCGGUGAUCGGAUUGGCAAGAGAAUCGUGCUCCCACGUACAUUUCCAGGUGGUGACCGUGACAUGCAACGGAGGUUUCUAGAUGCGAUGGCAAUAGUCCAGCGGUGGGGUAAACCGGAUUAUUUUAUCACAAUGACUUGCAAUUCUUAUUGGGAGGAGAUAACUGAGAAAUUGUUGCCUGGACAACUGCCACAAGACCGUCCAGACCUGGUGGCAAGAGUAUACAAAGAUAAACAACGAGAUAUGAUGGACUUACUGACUAAGGGUAAGCAUUUCGGAGAAGUUGUGGCUUAUGUACAUGUCACGGAGUUUCAGAAACGAGGUCUCCCGCAUGAGCAUAUACUUCUAAUCAUGAAAGCAAAAAGCAAGUUAGCGACCCCGGAUGACUAUGAUCGGGUGAUAUCUGCAGAGAUACCUGACAAAGAAAAAUACCCCAUUCUACAUGAUCUGGUCAUCAAACACAUGAUGCAUGGACCCUGUGGUGAGUUGAAAAAAAGUUGUCCUUGCAUGAUUGAUGGACAGUGCCGGUUUCAUUACCCGCGAGAUUUUUGCAAUGCCACACAACAAGGGAAAGACUCAUAUCCCAUCUAUAGGAGGAGGGACGAUGGGCGUGGAGUUAGGAUCAGAGGAGCAAAUUUGGACAAUAGAUGGGUGGUCCCUUACAACCCUUUUCUGCUUAUGCGAUACAACUGCCACAUUAAUGUCGAAGCAUGCUCGAGCAUCAAGGCAGUCAAGUACUUGUUCAAGUACAUCUACAAAGGGCAUGAUCGGACAUCCUUUGCAUUCGAGCAGGAUAUCAUCAAUGAUGGUGGAAUCAUCAAUGAAAUCUGACAAUAUAGGGAUGCACGCUAUGUAUCUCCUCCAGAGGCUAUUUACAGGAUUUUUGGUUUUAAAAUGUUUGGUGUCAGUCCAUCUGUGCUGCAGCUCCAGCUUCAUUUGCCAAACAUGCAUACAGUUGCAUUUAAAUCUUGUGAAAAUCUGGAAGAUGUUCUUGCUCGACCAUCUUCUUCCAAGUCCAUGCUUACCGAGUACUUUGAGAUGAACCGAAGGUUUCCGGAGGCACGAAAAUGGUUGUACAGAGAGUUUCCAGAACAUUAUAGAUGGAUAGCUGGAAACAACGAGUGGCAGAAUAGAAGAAAUAAGAGAUCACAAAUUGGAAGGCUUGUGUAUGCACACCCUGCUGAAGGAGAGAGGUACUACUUGCGUGUCCUACUAAGUCAUGUCCGAGGUGCCACUUCAUUUGAUGAUUUAAAAAUAGUAAAUGGCAAGGCAUGCAGUUCCUUCAGGGAGGCAUGUGAGCACUUAGGCCUCAUUGAGCAUGACAGGACUCUUGAUGAUUGCAUGACGGAGGCAGCCACAUUUCAGAUGCCUUGUGCCCUAAGACGGUUGUUUGCGACUAUACUGGUAUUUUGCGAGGCAACAGAAAUCCGACAAAUGUGGGACAAGCAUCUAGCAUCAAUGUCUGAGGAUUACCGUCGUAACCAAUCCAAUGAGGCAACACUUGAACAGAUGGUGCUUAGAGAUAUCAGGGAUAUGUUGCAAUCCAUGGGAAAGGAUAUUACAAGCUAUGGACUUCCAGAUCUGGUUGAGACUGAUGGUUCUUAUGAUGGUGAGCACAGAGAGGUAACAGAGGAGAGGCAAGUCACCGUGGACAAAGAACAUCUAGAUCUAUUUAGCAGUUUGAACAGUGAGCAACUGGCUGGUUUCAAUGACAUAAUGGAUCAUGUGAUGAACCAAAAAAGUCAGGUGUUCUUUGUUGAUGGUCCAGGAGGCAUUGGGAAGACGUACUUAUACAAGGCAUUGCUUGCAAAGGUGCGUUCCAUGGGCCAAAUAGCAAUUGCAACUGCUACAUCAGGUAUAGCAGCAUCGAUAAUGCCUGGAGGAUGGACUGCACACUCUAGGUUCAAAAUUCCAAUAAAGCUCACUGACAACAGCAUGUGUAGUUUCACAAAGCAAAGCGGUACAGCGGAGUUGCUUAAACAGGCGUCCUUAAUAAUUUGGGACGAAGUCGCUAUGACAAAACGUCAAGCUGUUGAGACGCUUGAUAGAUCGUUGCAGGAUAUAAUGGAAUGUCCAUUGCCGUUUGGGGGAAAGGUUGUCGUCUUUGGUGGGGAUUUCAGGCAGGUCCUUCCCGUUGUGGCACGUGGGACAAGAGCACAGAUCACAGAUGCUACACUUCUGAGAUCAUAUCUGUGGGAGAAGACCCGCAAGAUACGUCUCACGCACAAUAUGCGUGCACAGGCUGAUCCUUGGUUCUCCAAAUACCUCCUAAGGAUCGGCAAUGGAACAGAAGAGACAAUUGGCGACGACUAUGUGCGUCUCCCUGACGACAUUGUGAUCGGCUAUACUGAGGAUGAAAAAGCUAUCAACACGCUCAUUGAAGAUGUCUUCCCAUCGCUGCAUGCCAAUGCUAGAUCGAGAGAGUACAUGAGCGCACGUGCAAUUCUUUCGACCAAGAAUGAUCAUGUGGAUGACCUGAAUGAUAAGAUGAUCUCCAGGUUUCCAGGCGAAGAAAAGUUAUACCAUAGCUUCGACUCAAUCGAGGAUGACUUGCAGAAUAAUUACACAAUUGAUUUUUUUGAACUCAAUCACACCAAAUGGCUUGCCACCGCAUGUUUUGAGAUUAAAGGUCAACUGCCCAGUCAUUCUGCUUCGGAACCUCGACCCUCAUAAUGGCCUAUGCAAUGGAACACGACUUAUGAUCAGAGCCUUCCAGGAUAAUGCAAUCGACGCGGAGAUUGUUGGAGGUCAGCAUGCUAGAAAGAGGGUGUUCAUACCUAGGAUCCCUAUGUCGCCCUCGGAAGACAUCUCACUUCCCUUCAAACUUAAGAGAAAACAGUUCCCCAUCCGCCUAAGUUUUGCGAUGACAAUUAAUAAGGCACAGGGUCAGACCAUCCCAAACGUUGGUAUUUACCUCCCUGAGCCUGUAUUCUCACAUGGUCAGCUAUAUGUUGCACUGUCAAGGGGAGUGUCAAGAGAGACGACACGGAUUUUGGCCAAGCCAAACAAGGAGGUUGAUAAAUCCGGGAAAAGCACCAAGAACAUUGUCUACAGAGAUGUUUUAGAGAGAUGAGACAGGUGUGUCAUUCCAUUACUUCUUUGCAGCUACUAUGUUCUUGCAUCUAUAACUAUUUUUGGAACUAACAUUAUUUUUGUUUUUCAUUUUCAGGUUUAGCCUACCAUGAUACGGUUACAUGUAUAUUUUAUGGAUACAUGUACAUGAUAUUUUAUUGUACCACACAACACACUUUUGGAAGACAAAUUUAGUUUCAGGGGCGAAUUGGGGUGCUGCUGAGUAGCAACAAACUGCAAGUCCAGAAACAUUACAGUGCUUGGGGGCGCUUCUAAUUUUUGUUACAACAGCGAGGCCCAGAUUGAGUGCCUGAUGGAAGGCUUACUCUUGUGAGAUAUCCAGUUUGUAUUAACAGAAUUACUACAUGCAUUUUGCAAUUACUUCCAUUGUGUAUGCCUCAUUUUGUAAUAUACAAUGGUACAAUUUCUCAGUGCAGAAAAGCGAGUAAACAUAUGUAUGUUCCACAAAGAUCUCUUUAUGCUGUUUUGAAUGCAGAACAUUACUGCAUUUAAAUAUGUCAAAGGUUGUGAAACUCGCCUUCGUGGAAAUCUACCAAAGGUAAUUUGUCCCAGGCACCCAUUUGUAGGGAAUACUUUUUAUUUGGAAUUGGGAAGAAGCUACAUUCCAGGCACCCAUUUGUCCCAGGCAUGAAGUUGUGGACACCAACCAAACUGGCCCUUUAUACACGCAUGAAUUUGAUGUGGUAUGAUUGAGACGUGAACCUUGACCACAAAUUCUAAUGCUAAAAUGUUAUAAAUUGUUUUUUCAGUCUUCUACAUACUAAUAUCAUUUACAUAAGUUUAGUCUCAAAAUUCCCAAUAGUCAUGUAGAUACAGAUAUAUAAGUUUAAAAGUUUGAGUACGCACACACCCAACUGAUAAUAUCUCUUGACCGGAGCGAGAAGCACGUGCAGGUAGCAAUUAGUAUGUAAUAAUUAGUGCUAAGGAGUGACAGCAUGCUGAAACAAAACCUGAAAGCUAACCUUUUUCAUCUCACCAAGUGCAAAUGCUUAAUUUUUGCCUUGAAGAAAUCUACAACUGCUUCAACUCCAACAGUCUGACCUUCCCAAGCUACAUCCUGCAAACAAACAACAUUCGUAAGAAUGGCUUGGCAGAAGUUAGCAACAGGUUAUCAUUACCUCCUGAUGUUUAUUUGGCAUGAACAUACAUAACCCAGUUUCCUUUCUUGCAUGUAUGACUAGAACUGAAGUGUGAGAAGAAAGACAUAGGAAUUGCCCACUCCAAAUAACAGACACACAUAAGCUAUCCCGCACGCUCAAACUGAUCGACAUCUAUUUGUCCUUCUAAACAACCAGAAAGAAUGAAUCUUCAUGUGAAAGACAAAUAACAUAAAAAUAAUAAUGAAUUGGUUAUAUUAACUGGAGAGACUAAACAGAACCACAAAGUGCCAAAAGAGUUCACAUAUAUUCAGGACAAGCUUACUCCAAGAUUAGACAGUAGGAAAACAGGAUCACCCCAAAUUAUAUUUUUUCUCUCCAAUUCAAAAAUGACUCUCAUGCUCAAACCUAGACUACUGAGCUACAUAAGUAUUGUACUGGAAUGGAUAGCAAUUAGGAUUUAACAAGCAGAUACAACCAUUUUCAAUCUAAAGAAACUUUUAAGUGUGUGGUCUCUCAUUACAGGAUGCAUUGUACACUCAAAAUUCUAAACUGCACCUAAUAAAAAAUCAUCAUUUAAUUUAAUAUAUCAUAUAACAGAUGACCGCCUGUUAUUUCUGCUCAGCAUACUUAUCAGAACACAACUAUCUAAGUCAUCAUUUCUUCGGCUCACAAAUUCGCAAGAUCAUCAGAACAGUAAAUGUGUUACUGAAACACACACACACACACACACACACACAAUAAAACUGACAUGAGACACCAAGAUAAACUUGAUCUCCAGAUGCAGAAACUCUACCGUGAAGUAAUAUCAUUCUGUCAUACAAUCCCUUUCUUGCAAGUCAUGCCCCAAGUUACCAUUUCUUACAGUAGCCUCUUAAGAGAAAGAAUCCUGACUUUCUAUCAAUAAAAGCACCAUUGUGUGUGUUCACCAUCCAGCAGUGAUAUACCGUUUGUUAAACUCGAGUUCACAGUUGCGAAUGCCUGAAUCCAGAAGUACCUGGAGCAACCGACCAUGUAGGCGAGCUAGGAGCGCCUUCUCGGAGCAGGUGUGGGAGCGAAGCACGAGGUCGACUAUCACGGUGGGCACGUAGACGAACUGGAACUUGGCCCGCUCCGAGAUGCCCGCUGCCGCAUCGUUUCCAGGAUGCUCCUCUAGCUCGCAUCUUGAUCUGCGCUGGAAGAUGUGGACGGCGGCGACAGAGUCGAUCUAGAGAAGAACUGCGGGGUUAGCGGCAAGCCGGCAAGGUGAGGUCGUGGUGGGGAGAGAAGGCGGCGGGCCGAGGCCAUGGUGGGGAGAGGAGGCGGCGGCCGACGGGGCGAGGCCGUGGUGGGUAGAUGAGGCAGUGGGGAGAGCAGGCGGGGCCACCAUGGAAUGGGGAGCGAUGGGGG